rnacentral:rRNA from 1 species
AUGGGGCGAGGCGUCGCGGCGGCGUUCCUGCACGCCUUGUCGGCCUUGGAGCUAGCCUUGGCGGGGGCGGGCCGAGGCGUCGCGGCGGAGGACGUUAAGCAGACGGGCACGCGCCGCCGGCGCGCUUGCCGUGGGCGUCCGCUUCGCCCGAGCCCAGGAGUGGGGCGAGAGGUCGCGCCGGCGUUCCUACACGCCUUGUCGCCCUUGAAGCUGGCCUUGGCGGGCCGAGGCGUCGCGGCGGAGGACGACAAGGCGGCCGGCGUGCUCUGUUGGGGCGACGCGUCGCGGCGCUCCGGCUCCAGCAGAUGA